GAUGAACGCUGGCGGCGUGCCUAAUACAUGCAAGUCGAGCGAACAGACGAGGAGCUUGCUCCUCUGACGUUAGCGGCGGACGGGUGAGUAACACGUGGAUAACCUACCUAUAAGACUGGGAUAACUUCGGGAAACCGGAGCUAAUACCGGAUAAUAUAUUGAACCGCAUGGUUCAAUAGUGAAAGACGGUUUUGCUGUCACUUAUAGAUGGAUCCGCGCCGCAUUAGCUAGUUGGUAAGGUAACGGCUUACCAAGGCGACGAUGCGUAGCCGACCUGAGAGGUGGACCGGCCAACAUGAAACGGAGAAACGGCCCAGACCCUUAGGGAAGGCAGCAGUAGGGAAUCUUCCGAAAGGGGCGAAAGCCUAACGGAGAAAGGCGGGGUGAGGAAUGAGGGUCUUCGAACCGAAAAACUCUGUUAUAAGGAAAAAAAAAAUGUGAAAGUAACAAUGAAGGUCUGGACGGUACCUAAGAAGAAAGCCACGGCUAACUACGG
rnacentral:rRNA from 1 species